CAGAAGGUAGUUUAAUUAGAAUUUCGGCCUUGGGAGCCGGCGGCGGGAGCAGAUGCUCUCUUUUCUGA
rnacentral:tRNA from 1 species